UUUUUACUUUAUAGUUUACAAUUGUUAUUAAGUAACGUCUUGUCAAACCCGUCCCGCCAAACCCGUCCACAAAAAAAACUAUUUAUUUUAUUAAUGUUAAUCUUAUUUAUGAUAUGUUUAUGAAUCAUUGUCUAAAUAUUUUAAUCGAUGCGGGACGUUGAACCCACAUAUUUUUCGCCAAGUGGUUAAUAUAUGUUCAUUUUUAAAAUUUCGAACCGUAAAAUAUGACGUAAAAAAACAACUCUAUAUAUUAUAUAAUGAUGUUAAAUUUUUUUGAUAUAUUAAACUUUUUAUAAGUUUAAAUAUUAAUAAAGUUUUAUAAAGUUGAAAUAUAUAAAUUAUAACAUUUAAAAAUUAUAAU
rnacentral:sRNA from 1 species